CGCGAAAACUUCGCAAUAAGCGAAAGCUUGACGGGGCCAUCCCGAGUGCCAUCUGCUGAGGAUGGCUUUUACCCAGUGUAGAUAGCUGGGGGAAUAAGGAGAGGGCAAGUCUGGUGUCAGCCGCCGCGGUAAUACCAGCUCUCCGAGUUGUGGGGAUGUUUAUUGGGCCUAAAGCAUCCGUAGCCGGCUGGGCAAGUCCUCUGUUAAACCCAGCGAUUAAUCGUUGGCCUGCGGGGGAUACUGUCCGGCUAGGGGGCGGGAGAGGCCGUCGGUAUUCUCGGGGUAGGGGUGAAAUCCUAUAAUCCCGGGAGGACCACCAGUGGCGAAGGCUGUCGGCUAGAACGCGCCCGACGGUGAGGGAUGAAAGCUGGGGGAGCGAACCG
rnacentral:rRNA from 1 species